rnacentral:rRNA from 1 species
UGCCAGCAGCCGCGGUAAUACGGAGGGGGUUAGCGUUGUUCGGAAUUACUGGGCGUAAAGCGCGCGUAGGCGGCUUUGUAAGUCGGAUGUGAAAGCCCCGGGCUCAACCUGGGAAUGGCAUUCGAUACUGCAUAGCUAGAGUAUGGUAGAGGGAAGUGGAAUUUCCGGUGUAGCGGUGAAAUGCGUAGAUAUCGGAAGGAACACCAGUGGCGAAGGCGACUUCCUGGGCCAAUACUGACGCUGAGGUGCGAAAGCGUGGGGAGCAAACAGGAUUAGAUA